rnacentral:rRNA from 1 species
GGACUACUGGGGUAUCUAAUCCCAUUCGCUACCCACGCUCUCGUCCUAGCAGUGUCAGGAGGCACCCAGAAGCCUGCCUACGCUAUUGGUGUUCCAAACGAUAUCAACGCAUUUCACUACUACACCGUUUGUUCCAGCUUCCUCUUUGCCCCUCUAGCUUUACAGUUUCAAAAGACAUUCUCCCAGUUGAGCUGAGAGAUUUCACUUCUGACUUGUAAAGCCACCUGUCGGUACGCUUUACGCCCAAUGAUUCCGGAUAACGCUUGAGGUCUCUGUAUUACCGCGGCUGCUGGCAC